AUUGAACGCUGGCGGCAUGCCUUACACAUGCAAGUCGAACGGCAGCACGGGAGCAAUCCUGGUGGCGAGUGGCGAACGGGUGAGUAAUAUAUCGGAACGUGCCCAGUCGUGGGGGAUAACGUAGCGAAAGCUACGCUAAUACCGCAUACGAUCUAUGGAUGAAAGCGGGGGAUCGCAAGACCUCGCGCGAUUGGAGCGGCCGAUAUCAGAUUAGGUAGUUGGUGAGGUAAAGGCUCGCCAAGCCGACGAUCUGUAGCUGGUCUGAGAGGACGACCAGCCACACUGGGACUGAGACACGGCCCAGACUCCUACGGGAGGCAGCAGUGGGGAAUUUUUGGACAAUGGGCGCAAGCCUGAUCCAGCAAUGCCGCGUGCAGGAUGAAGGCCUGG
rnacentral:rRNA from 1 species